AUUGAACGCUGGCGGCAGGCUUAACACAUGCAAGUCGAGCGGAGAUGAGGUGCUUGCACCUUAUCUUAGCGGCGGACGGGUGAGUAAUGCUUAGGAAUCUGCCUAUUAGUGGGGGACAACAUUCCGAACGGAAUGCUAAUACAGCAUACGCCCUACGGGGGAAAGCAGGGGAUCUUCGGACCUUGCGUUAAUAGAUGAGCCUAAGCCGGAUUAGCUAGUUGGUGGGGUAAAGGCCUACAAAGGUGACGAUCUGUAGCGGGUCUGAGAGGAUGAUCCGCCACACUGGGACUGAGACACGGCCCAGACUCCUACGGGAGGCAGCAGUGGGGAAUAUUGGACAGUGGGCGGAAGCCUGAUCCAGCCAUGCCGCGUGUGUGAAGAAGGCCUUUUGGUUGUAAAGCACUUUAAGCGAGGAGGCGGCUACCUGGAUUAAUACUCUAGGAUAGUGGACGUUACCCGCAGAAUAAGCACCGGCUAACUCUGUGCCAGCCGCCGCAGUAAAAC
rnacentral:rRNA from 1 species